UUUUUGGAAGUAAACAAAUAUUGAAGAAAGUGUUGUGCCUUCACAGAAUUUAAAUUGGCAUUAGGAAUAGAUUUCCUUGAUUUAGUAAUGAUAUUGCUCAUAGAAAUUGUUAAUGUGAAGAAUAACAAUACAGGAACAUAGAAUAACAAGAAAGAAAUUCUAGCAGCAAGUUAGGUUAUGAGAUAAAUUUUAUUUAUAUAGUUUGUUUAAAGAGUUUAGUUUGAAAAAAAGUUAAAACAAUUAUUAUUGUCCAGGUCAUAUUUGAUAACUGUUGUUAAUUGAUAACAUAUUACAGGGACACAGUAAAAAGACAAAACAUUUAGACCCUUUGAAAGAGAAAUGUUUGCAAUGGAUAUUAAUAAAUUCUAGCCAAUUUGUACGAUGUACAAUGCAGGCAAUAUUUCUGCCUCCUAACGCACUAUUCGCUUAAAAGAAGAUAACAGAUUUAUUAUUAGUUGGCUAGUGUGUUAGUAGGAUAGCCAUUGGUAGUUAUAAAGUAUGAAGUCGUCAGGUAUUAAUAAUAGGAAUUGAUCAAAGCUUAUACAUUUAUUGUGAUAUUUAUAUUGUGAAUUUAAGUAGUUAGAGUUUUGGUUGUUUAAUAAACGAAUUAAUGUGC
rnacentral:lncRNA from 1 species